rnacentral:rRNA from 1 species
AUACGGAGGGGGCUAGCGUUGUUCGGAAUUACUGGGCGUAAAGCGUACGCAGGCUGACCAUUAAGUUAGAGGUGAAAUCCCAGGGCUCAACCCUGGAACUGCCUUUAAAACUGCUGGUCUGGAGUUAUGGAGAGGUAAGUGGAAUUCCUAGUGUAGAGGUGAAAUUCGUAGAUAUUAGGAGGAACACCAGAGGCGAAGGCGGCUUACUGGACAUAUACUGACGCUGAGGUACGAAAGUGUGGGGAGCAAACGGGAUUAGAAACCCCUGUAGUCC